rnacentral:rRNA from 1 species
GAUCUGGCUCAGGAUGAACGCUAGCUACAGGAUUAACACAUGCAAGUCGAGGGGCAGCAUGAACUUAGCUUGCUAAGUUUGAUGGCGACCGGCGCACGGGUGAGUAACACGUAUCCAACCUGCCGAUGACUCGGGGAUAGCCUUUCGAAAGAAAGAUUAAUACCCGAUGGCAUAAUUCUUCCGCAUGGUAGAACUAUUAAAGAAUUUCGGUCAUCGAUGGGGAUGCGUUCCAUUUAGG